rnacentral:lncRNA from 1 species
AAAUUAUACUAAUUUAUGGUGUACAAGACUUAGGGUGUCUAUCUCUUUAGAAAGAACAAGCUUACAGUCUCUCUCUUAUGUAGAUCCUUGGAAUGUUGGACCAGAUGUAGAUAGCAGAGCAUAGCGACCAGAAGACAGUAAGGGAGGAAGGAGAGUUUUGCAAAAGGGGGCAAAGGUUCAGAAGGGGAGGAAUCAAGUGGAGGACUAGGCUACAGCUAGGUAGCUUAGUGCUAAGGCUGCCUAUAGCAAGAUGAAUAACAGGCCUUUUCAUGUGUCUUCUUUGAAGUGGUGAAGUAGACAAGACCUGGUGCAGAUGGACAGCCACUGAAGGGAGCCAGACCAGAAUGUCAGGGUGCUUCGUGCCCACACACCCAGGGCACAGGCUCCCAUAGUCAUUCUCUUCCAUUAGGUCUUCACUGUUGGCUCCCUGCUUGCUCAGCCCAGCAUUGCUGGCUGCACAGAGAGAUGGUGCCAUGUGACAUUCACCUGAUGAAGGCCUACCUCCCUAGCUCCUGCAGAACAUCUACCCCCGAAAGCAAGACUGACUGGAACACAGCCUCCUGUGAUGAUGUCCCUUCCUCUCCCAGGGUCCCACAGACACAAUUCCUCAACGCUUACUGGACUACAUUUUGAGAUUGUUUUGGUUCACUGUGCCAAGGGAUAUUGGCACAGCUCUGAACACACUUUCUGUGAUGACUGAUUGGUGUUCAUCUUGUGGCCCUCCUAGGUGAAGAGAAGGCCAGGUGUCUAGGGAUGAAGUCCAUCCAGCCCAUGGCAGCAAGUUUCAUGAUGGAGCACACAUUGUUAGGGCACACACAGAGGUAUGCAUGUGGUGCUAACUUCCCUGAAUGUUGUCCGCGCAUGGCUUUGGUUUUCUACUGGAGAACAGAGAGUUAGGGAGAGGAAGGGUCCUUGAAUCUAGCACCUUCACCAGUUGCUUAUCUAUAUCUUCCACACCUGGCUGGUAGGGAGCUGAUGCAUUUCCUAGCUGUCUCUGGGUAUCA